rnacentral:rRNA from 1 species
GAUGAACGUUGGCGGCGUGCUUAACACAUGCAAGUCGAGCGAGAAGUUUUGAAAAGAUUCUUCGGAUGAAAUUUAAAAUGGAAAGCGGCGGACGGGUGAGUAACGCGUAGGCAACCUGCCCCAUACAAAGGGAUAGCAUUUGGAAACGAAUAUUAAUACCUUAUGAAACUUAACUAGUGCAUGCUAGGUAGGUCAAAGAUUUAUCGGUAUGGGAUGGGCCUGCGUCUGAUUAGCUAGUUGGUGAGGUAACGGCUCACCAAGGCGACGAUCAGUAGCCGACCUGAGAGGGUGAACGGCCACAUUGGAACUGAGACACGGUCCAAACUCCUACGGGAGGCAGCAGUGGGGAAUAUUGCACAAUGGGGGAAACCCUGAUGCAGCAACGCCGCGUGAACGAUGAAGGCCUUUGGGUCGUAAAGUUCUGUUCUAGGUGAUGAAACUGACAUAACCUAGGAGAAG